AGGUGUGGCAAGACCAAAGUGACCACAGCUGAUCUCAAAAAGCUAAGCAGUCUUGGUUCUGGUUAGUACUUGGAUGGGAGAACCAUCUGAAAACCCUAAGGCUGUAAGUU
rnacentral:rRNA from 1 species